GGACAAUUAGCUCAGUUGGUUAGAGCGUCACAUUGACAUUGUGAAGGUCACUGGUUCGAAUCCAGUAUUGUCCACUA
rnacentral:tRNA from 1 species